UACGGAGGGUGCAAGCGUUAUCCGGAUUCACUGGGUUUAAAGGGUGCGUAGGUGGGUUGGUAAGUCAGUGGUGAAAUCUCCGUGCUUAACAUGGAAGCUGCCAUUGAUACUACUAGUCUUGAAUCUUCCGGAGGUCAGCGGAAUAUGUUAUGUAGCGGUGAAAUGCUUAGAUAUGACAUAGAACACCAAUUGCGAAGGCAGCUGACUACAGGGGCAUUGACACUGAGGCACGAAAGCGUGGGGAUCAAACAGG
rnacentral:rRNA from 1 species